rnacentral:rRNA from 1 species
CCAGACUCCUACGGGAGGCAGCAGUGAGGAAUAUUGGUCAAUGGCCGGAAGGCUGAACCAGCCAAGCCGCGUGAAGGACGAAGGUGCCAAGCAUUGUAAACUUCUUUUGUCAAGGGACAAAAUCAGGCUCGAGAGCCUGACCGAGGGUACUUGAAGAAAAAGCAUCGGCUAACUCCGUGCCAGCAGCCGCGGUAAUACGGAGGAUGCGAGCGUUAUCCGGAUUUAUUGGGUGUAAAGGGUGCGUAGGCGGACUGGUAAGUCAGGGGUAAAAGCCCGGGGCUCAACCCCGGCGGGCCGUUGAAGCUGGCUGUCUUGAGAUGUCGAGAGGUAUGCGGAAUGCGCAGUGUAGCGGUGAAAUGCUUAGAUAUCACGAAGAACCCCGAUUGCGAAGGCAGCUUACUAAACUGUGACUGACAUUGAGGCUCGAAAGGGUGGGUAUCAAACAGGAUUAGAUACCCCCGUACG